rnacentral:rRNA from 1 species
UACGGGGGGGGUAAGCGUUGUUCGGAAUUACUGGGCGUAAAGGGCUCGUAGGCGGCCAACUAAGUCAUACGUGAAAUCCCUCAGCUUAACUGGGGGAACUGCGUGUGAUACUGGAUGGCUUGGAUUUGGGAGAGGGAUGCGGAAUUCCAGGUGUAGCGGUGAAAUGCGUAGAUAUCUGGAGGAACACCGGUGGCGAAGGCGGCAUCCUGGACCAACACUGACGCUGAGGAGCGAAAGCCAGGGGAGCAAACGGG